rnacentral:rRNA from 1 species
UGGUGGAGUGAUUUGUCUGGUUAAUUCCGUUAACGAACGAGACCUCAGCUUGUUGGUUGUUUCGAGCUUUUCUUUUAGAAAAGUUUCGGAGGAUUGAGAAGGACUGUCGGUGUUUAGCCGAUGGAAGUUUGAGGCAAUAACA